rnacentral:rRNA from 1 species
AGUGAACGCUGGCGGUAGGCCUAACACAUGCAAGUCGAACGGCAGCACAGUAAGAGCUUGCUCUUACGGGUGGCGAGUGGCGGACGGGUGAGGAAUACAUCGGAAUCUACUUUUUCGUGGGGGAUAACGUAGGGAAACUUACGCUAAUACCGCAUACGACCUACGGGUGAAAGCAGGGGAUCUUCGGACCUUGCGCGAUUGAAUGAGCCGAUGUCGGAUUAGAUGGUUGGCGGGGUAAAGGCCCACCAAGGCGACGAUCCGUAGCUGGUCGGAGAGGAUGGUCAGCCGCACUGGAGCGGAGACACGGACCAGGCUCCUACGGGAGGCAGCAGUGGGGAAUAUGGGACAAUGGGCGCGAGCCUGAUCCAGCCAUACCGCGUGGGUGAAGAAGGCCUUCGGGUUGUAAAGCCCUUUUGUUGGGAAAGAAAAGCAGCAGGUUAAUACCCCGCUGUUCUGACGGUACCCAAAGAAUAAGCACCGGCUAACUUCGUG